rnacentral:rRNA from 1 species
UGCUUCUCUGAUGUUAGCGGCGGACGGGUGAGUAACACGUGGAUAACCUACCUAUAAGACUGGGAUAACUUCGGGAAACCGGAGCUAAUACCGGAUAAUAUUUCGAACCGCAUGGUUCAAAAGUGAAAGACGGUCUUGCUGUCACUUAUAGAUGGAUCCGCGCUGCAUUAGCUAGUUGGUAAGGUAACGGCUUACCAAGGCAACGAUGCAUAGCCGACCUGAGAGGGUGAUCGGCCACACUGGAACUGAGACACGGUCCAGACUCCUACGGGAGGCAGCAGUAGGGAAUCUUCCGCGAUGGGCGAAAGCCUGACGGAGCAACGCCGCGUGAGUGAUGAAGGUCUUCGGAUCGUAAAACUCUGUUAUUAGGGAAGAACAUAUGUGUAAGUAACUGUGCACAUCUUGACGGUACCUAAUCAGAAAGCCACGGCUAACUACGUGCCAGCAGCCGCGGUAAUACGUAGGUGGCAAGCGUUAUCCGGAAUUAUUGGGCGUAAAGCGCGCGUAGGCGGUUUUUUAAGUCUGAUGUGAAAGCCCACGGCUCAACCGUGGAGGGUCAUUGGAAACUGGAAAACUUGAGUGCAGAAGAGGAAAGUGGAAUUCCAUGUGUAGCGGUGAAAUGCGCAGAGAUAUGGAGGAACACCAGUGGCGAAGGCGACUUUCUGGUCUGUAACUGACGCUGAUGUGCGAAAGCGUGGGGAUCAAACAGGAUUAGAU